rnacentral:rRNA from 1 species
AUGUUGGGUUAAGUCCCGUCAACGAGCGCAACCCCUAUUGUUAGUUGCCAUCAUUCAGUUGGGCACUCUAGCGAGACUGCCGGUAAUAAACCGGAGGAAGGUGGGGAUGACGUCAAAUCAUCAUGCCCCUUAUGACCUGGGCUACACACGUGCUACAAUGGUUGGUACAACGAGUUGCGAGUCGGUGACGGCGAGCUAAUCUCUUAAAGCCAAUCUCAGUUCGGAUUGUAGGCUGCAACUCGCCUACAUGAAGUCGGAAUCGCUAGUAAUCGCGGAUCAGCACGCCCGCGGUCCAAUACGUUCCGGCCUU